rnacentral:rRNA from 1 species
GUGGGGAAUAUUGGACAAUGGGCGAAAGCCUGAUCCAGCCAUGCCGCGUGUGUGAAGAAGGUCUUCGGAUUGUAAAGCACUUUAAGUUGGGAGGAAGGGCAGUAAGUUAAUACCUUGCUGUUUUGACGUUACCGACAGAAUAAGCACCGGCUAACUUCGUGCCAGCAGCCGCGGUAAUACGAAGGGUGCAAGCGUUAAUCGGAAUUACUGGGCGUGAAGCGCGCGUAGGUGGUUCAGCAAGUUGGAGGUGAAAUCCCCGGGCUCAACCUGGGAACUGCCUCCAAAACUACUGGGCUAGAGUACGGUAGAGGGUAGUGGAAUUUCCUGUGUAGCGGUGAAAUGCGUAGAUAUAGGAAGGAACACCAGUGGCGAAGGCGACUACCUGGACUGAUACUGACACUGAGGUGCGAAAGCGUGGGGAGCAAACAGGAUUAGAAACCCCAGUAGUCC